UACAGAGGGGGGCUAGCGUUGUUCGGAAUUACUGGGCGUAAAGGGCGCGUAGGUGGCCUGUUAAGUCGAACGUGAAAUCCCCCGGGCUCAACCCGGGAACUGCGUCCGAGACUGGCAGGCUCGAAUCCGGGAGAGGGAUGUGGAAUUCCAGGUGUAGCGGUGAAAUGCGUAGAUAUCUGGAGGAACACCGGUGGCGAAGGCGGCAUCCUGGACCGGUAUUGACGCUGAGGCGCGAAAGCCAGGGGAGCAAAGCGGG
rnacentral:rRNA from 1 species